rnacentral:rRNA from 1 species
UAACACGUGGAUAACCUACCUAUAAGACUGGGAUAACUUCGGGAAACCGGAGCUAAUACCGGAUGAUAUUUUGAACCGCAUGGUUCAAAAGUGAAAGACGGUCUUGCUGUCACUUAUAGAUGGAUCCGCGCUGCAUUAGCUAGUUGGUAAGGUAACGGCUUACCAAGGCAACGAUGCAUAGCCGACCUGAGAAGGUGAUCGGCCACACUGGAACUGAGACACGGUCCAG